rnacentral:sRNA from 1 species
CAACGAAAUUUGCCCUUGCGGGCAAGUGAAAUAUUUCUGCGAAAUGUGAAAUACGCCUGCGGCGUGUGAAAUA